UGGGCACAGCAACGGCGCCCCCUGCUUCCCCAGCCGUUUCGAGCGCUUGCAGCCUGGAGCUAUGUUGGGGAAGAACUUGUUCGCACAUCCGCGAAGGCUCUGGGACAUCAAGUAAGUUGUGCGCUCCCCAGAUUUGUAAUUCCUUGAGAUGGCCCUGGGCGAGGAGAUGCCAUAGGUCCUCAGAUCUUAGACCCCCACAAUCAUGUAGGUCCAAUUUGGUCAGAUUUGUGAGAGGAGCCAGCGAAAGCAUGCCAUCCUUCACACCACCAAGCUGGAGGGACUGCAGGGAGGUCGGGAAAGGGCAGUAAAAAGAGGGGGGCGAACUGGAGGAUAGAAGCAUGGGGCAGUUACGUAUAACCAGUGAUCUCAGAGAGCUCUGAUUUUGAAGGGGCAUGGGCAGCUGUCCUCCUGCUGCAGCUUCUAUUUCCUCUGCUCCGCCUGCCUGCUUGUUACCACAACUCCAUAGUUCCAACGUUAAGAGGUUAGGGAAAUAAGAGAUUAGCUGUAACAAUUCCUUCACAGUGGCACCACAACCUGAUAUCUGGAGCUGUUCAACUGGGAACUCGAAUGGGGAAUCAUUCUCACCUUCAGUUGGCCACAGGACACUAGUACAGUGACUUAUAUGCAGGGUCUUCAGAGAAUUUAGCAGUUGUAGGUGAUGUAGAGGCACUUGUGAGCAUUCACUGAUCCUGAACUCCUUUAUUUCACUCAGAUUACUGAAGGCCAAUACAUUCCAGAGUUCAUGACCAAGAGCAUCCUUUUUGAACCCUACACGAAUUUCCUGCUCCUUUUUGCUGUAAUCUAAGUUCUCAAUAAUCUUACCCACUCUCUGCAGUCUAGCUUUGGACAGAGAACUACUCCAAGGAAUUGGUGGCACUGACACUAGUUCCUCACACUCUGAAAUGUAUAUCUCCUGUAGGUUGGGAAACAUGUGCGCAAAUGGCAGCUCUGUAAGUACAGAACAAUUCUUAACAAUGAGUACCUCUAGCUUAGAGAAAGGGCUAUCUACACUCCAUUUUUUCAGAGUUGCUAUGUUGACAAGUUCUAGAAAUUUCAGAUUCUGAAAGGUUUGCCCUGCGACGCUUGGCUGCUCUUCGCUGACCAUCAACAACUCUCCUAGCAGAGGUGGAAGACUUUUCCAGGCUACACCUUUGAGACAAAGGCAUUCCAAAUUCUUAGCAGAGUGAUCUGAACAUAGCCAGGUAGGGUAUGUGUGACCUCCAUGUCCUCUAAUGCACAGUUCUUGAAGAUUAUUGUGUGGCUUAAGGCAUUUAAGAAGAUCUUGUUCCUUUUUUGGGUCCCUAUCAGAUUGGUUUUCAUCCCAACCUAAUAUUAAUCGAUUUAAGUGUUGCAAGUGGACUAAUUUUAAUUCUUCCAGCUCUGUUGCACCACCAACCUUUUCAAGAUUACAAAUCUCCAAUGACCCAUGGAGCUGUAUCAAUUUCCCCAAUUGGUUCAAUUCAAAACCUUGUUUUUCUCUUUUGACCUCAAAUCUCCUUAUCUCUUGUAUAGAUUUAAGUUUCCCAACCUCAACAAUUCCACAAUGAUAUGAUUGAUUUCCCACAAGAAAAUGACGAAUUUUCACUAGGUUGCUCAUAUCUCUUGUAGAAGUGCACAUCUCUUCUGUGUCUAUACGAGGAAAAGUGUUGCAUUCUUUUAUAUCUAGGACCAACAAGUUAUAAAAUCUUGAUAUACUACCAAAUAAACUUCUUAAAUUUAAUACAUAACCCUUUAUCCUUAAGUAACGAAGAUGGACAAGUUGUGAGAAACUGUGCAGCAGAACCUCCACAUCAUACGAUGCACCAGAUAAGAAAAUGACACGAAGGGUUUUUGCAUCCCGAAACAUACCACUAAAUAUCUUGCAAAAGCUUCCAUGGUGAUCUCCAAAUAACAUCAAAGUACGUAGGUUUCUAGCUUUCAGUCUUUUACCAAGUAUAUCAAGGCCUUUCUUACAAUUUUCAAAGGUUGCUUUGUCCUCCACAUCUGAAUUAUUUAUGAUGAUGGACAUGUGAUGUAUAGAUGCAGGAAUUUGUAUUGACCCCACAUUAGCCCCUUGUAUGCUAAGACAUUCAUGUGCUGAAACAUUUCUUGCCAAGUCAUGGAGUAGGUCAUGUAUAACAUAAUAAGUGUGCCCAUCCUCUUUUUUUUCUUCCUGGAAGAAGCCAUAACUAACCAAGUCGCUUAAAUAAUCUAGUCCAAUAUCUUCAAGUCUCUUGUUUUGAUCGUCGGGGCCUAACAGCCCUAGUCCUAUCCACAAGUGGAUUAACUCUUCCCUUCCAAAUUCAUAAUCUUCAGGGAACAAGGCACAGUGGGCAAAACAUUGUUGUAGAUGAAAAGGAAGAUAGUUAUAGCUAAGCUUUAAUGCUGGCAUGAUAUCAUCCUCAUUGGCCUGAUAUUCCCAUUCUUUACUCUCAAGUACCCUUCUCCAAUGGUCUGUGUUAAGUUCAGUUUUCAGUAAUCUACCGACAGUUUUAACUGCAAGAGGGAAACCUUUCAAUCUCUUCACUAUUUCGCACCCAAAAUCAUGCAAAUUAGGGUUCCCUUCCCAUGUUUGCUGGUCAUCAAACACACAUGCUUGGAAGAAACACAUGCAUUCUUCAUCACUUAACCGUUCUAAUCUUAUUUGACAGCCUACUGUUGCAACCAUUUGUGCCACCUUCGGUAUCCUUGUUGUGACUAUUGCCAUGUUACCUUUUGUUUGCAUUUUCUUAAAUGGGGCUAGCAGUUUUUUCCAUUCAUUUUCGUGAUCUGUCCACAUGUCAUCCAAAACAAGCAAGAACCGUUUGGACUGCAAUCUUUUUUCAAUCAGACCUUCAGCACUUUCAUUUCCAUUUUCAUUGUCAAGUUUAGGGAUUUGUUUUAUGAUUUCUUGUGCCAACUUACUUGCACUGAAAUUCUGAGAGACACAUACCCAUACCAGGACUUGGAAGUGGCUCUUUGCUUCUUCAUAUAUAUGUUGUGUGAGUGUUGUCUUCCCAAGACCCCCUGGACCAACUAUCGAAAGAACAGUGAGAUCAUCAUUGACAUGAUAUUUAGAGGUUAUUCCAUCUAUGACAUCCUUUUUCAAAUCAUCCCUCCCAUAUAACUUUGGCUCUAUAAUCUGUGGGGUGGUGGUUCUGGUGGUUUGGUUGAAAGCAGUGCCUUGUUGGGCUGAGAUGCCAGUGGAGGCUAUAGUUCCCUGCAGCUCCAGAUCUAGAAUUGUAGAGACCAUAGCACACACUGGCUUAAGCUGCUCAACUAUGUCCACCAUCCGUUUGGACAUGGCCACCCGAUCAAACUUGAGUUUUGGCUUUCUACGAUGGUGACACACCACAGAAGCACAGGAGCAUGAGGGGAGCUUCAGCUUACUGACGACGGCCCCAGCCGUGUGUCGUGCGUUGAGGACAAGGCCCCCGACGAGACCUCGGGCAUCGGCGUCAAUGGUCUCAUAGGUCCCAUGGAGCUCAUCUUGGAUGCGGAAGUACUCCAGCUCGUCUAGAACGUCAUCAGCAUCGUACGCUUGGUUGCGGAGCUCCUGCAAGAGCUGCCCCAGUGCAGGGUUGCAGACAUCCCUGCCACGGGCGUUGUUCAGCAUCCCCUGGGCCUACAGGAGUUGCAGCUUGAGGGCGCGGAUGUUGGGGGCCAGCUUCGAAGAGGCUGCCCAAGACUCCAUGAGGCCAUCGGAGAUGGGUCUCAGUGCCCUGGACACCGCCCAGCGUGCUGCGCUGAUGGUGAUCUCCAUCCUCUCUUCAAAGGGUGUUGGAUGACGAAGAUUCUGUGAAUCAGAGCAUCGAUCAAGUUAUGAGCCUGUUCGGAACAGCCGGCAGCGGCUGCAGCUGCAGCUGCACUAGCACAAGAAGCUGAUGCUGAAGCUGGAUCUUUCGAAAAACAAGCUGAAGCUGAAGCCAAUGUACUAGGAUUAGCUCUCUGUUUGUUCUGCAAGAGGUGAAGUAUGUGCAGAUCACAAGGCUAGCCAGCUGCUUACCUAGGCUACGCAGAUGACUGGAGGUGCCCUGCGUGGUCGGCACCGGGUUGGAGUUGGAGCCUUGGAGUGGAGGCUGACAAAGACUCUGCAGCUGCACCACCGAGUUGGAGCGCGCAGACGUCAAGUGGUGAGUGUACAGAGGAACUCAACUCUGUUUCUGUGGGAGGAAUGCGAGAGACAACAACUCUGUCAGAUGGGAGCUGUGAGCCUAUGAAUGCAAGCGCGUGUGUGGUUUUCCCAGGGAACGUGAGAUGAUUGAUUGCAUGUGAGGCUAGAUAUUUCUAAACUCCUUUUUUUUACAGCACUCGAGUGUGAAACAGAGCAUGGAUUCUAGCUUACCUACGCAGAACACGGAGUUGGAGUGGAUGCAGCUGCACCAAGGAGUUUCAGCGGCCAAGAUGCGAAGUGCAGUGUUACUCUCGAAGAGGAAUGCAAGAGAGAACUCUGGGCAAGCAGCUUGUGCCAGGAGUUGGGCGGUUGUUGGAGAUGUGAAUAUAAGCGUGUGUGGGUGUUUCCUUUCCCUGUUUGUUCAAUUAUUGUCCUUAUGCUGCACUUGUUGCUUUCUCGGUUUCAAUGCAAAGGCACUUUUUCCUUGUCAAAAAGAAAAAUGCAAAGGCACUUUCUCGUGGUGCUCCAACGAGACAAAGCAAGGAUUCCUUCCCUGUUUGUUCAAUUAUUGUUGCAUUGAAAUUCUCUGUGUUCUGUAACCAAGCAGAAGCAGCAGGCGCAAGUGCGCAACGCACCCCACCACGCACUUGUGGAUGGAACCACGAUGGAGGAAGGCUCUGCCAGCCGGACGUCGCAGCAUCCAAUUCGCUCGUCCCAACCUAACCUCAUGUACGUUGGAUUGGAGUCACACGCGUCCAAUAGAAGGACCUCCAUUAUGCAUGCAAGUUGGGAUCUAAGACAUGUUGAGCCGAUUCCGCACUGUCUCUCAAAUCUGCAGUCUGAACUCUGAAGAGGCCAAGUGUCCAAGUUUGGUAGACAACAGAGCUUCAAAUUCAGUGUGUUUAAUUUUACAUAGAUUGACUCUUAAAAUUCAGGUUCAGUGUUCUUGAGAGUCAGCGUUGCUCAGCUGAUACUGUGAUGUGUCAUGUGACUCUACUUUGAAAAGCAGGGCCCUUUGCCUUAAAGACAAACUGGACCUAUUUUAUUGCUCUUAUGUUCAUUUAUUUUAUUUUAUAUUAUAGCGAGAUCCAUCUAGAAAGCAGUCACUGGAAAUGCUAGCAGAACAGGACCUUUGACACUUAUCACUAGCACUAUUUCAUUCAGUCUUGUAUCUCAUGUGCUUUUGCAUGCUAGCCAUUUGGCCUACAAUGUCAAAACGCAGCACUUGCAUAUUCUAUUAUUUCUUGCGACGCACUCUUGCAACUUCUCUUCAGCAUAAUAUAAGUUUGAAUCUCUAUCUCAAAUUUGGCAGGACAAUUCAGUCUAGAGAACACCCUAUGUUUCUCCUCAACUUAGACACUACCUGGCAGAAUUAGUUGACCACCUCGUCAGUUAGCAAUGGGUCAUCAUUUUGAAAGGGUCCAUGUCAAAGACUGCCUAACCAUGCAAAGAACACAGAGGAAAAAAAAAUCUUAUUCAGUGAUAUCAACUGCAUUACUUCCUACUCCAGCCUUGACAUUUAACAGCGAAGAGCACAAACUUGAGAGGUCAUAUAAGGCAGUAAUAGAUGUUCCAUAACUUACUUCGAUUGUGGCCGUGUCAACGUUUUCUUGUGAGAAUAGAAGAAAUCCAAGACUGGUGAAUACCUGAAAAAGCGUGCAGAUAAUUAUGAAAAGUCAUGAUAAUAAUUCAGUCAAAGACAAAACACGAAUGGAUUCAAUGCCAGUAGUAUUUGGGUCCACCACGAAAUUCCAUCAGUUGUUUGCAGUAACCAUUUGCAUGUGUAAUGAAAUAGUAAAAAAAUUAUCAUCCAAAGGGGAAAAAAAGGUAGGCCAAAGUUUCAAUAAGUAAACUACCUCAAAAUGUGUCAGGGAUCCAUUUUCUGAUUGCACUGAUUCAUCAAUAGCUCCUUAGAGCCUCAUCAGAAAGAUCACUCAGCAGUCCAACUGGGACAGGGCCUUCAUCAUUUCCAACAGAAAUCCAUUCACGUAUUAAUUGUUGGAAGACGAGGACUGAAUAGAAGACAGAAUUUCAGAGGUGUCAAAAACCAGCGAGACACAAUGGAACUGAACAAUUACAGACCAUCUAGAACAGAAGAUUACCCUUGAAUACCUUGACAUAGAUCUCAAAAUGAACAAUGACAGACAAUAUUCAAAACUAAUCUGUUAGAAAACAAGACCUAGCUCCCUACGAAUUGAAUACGAGAGUGCUAAGUCAGAUAAAGGUACUUUCUAUGGAUACAUCUUGGUACUUAAGACAUAUCACAUUUCUGUGGAUACAUCUUGGUACUUAAGACAAAUCACAUCUUGCUCCUGCAUACCUCUUUGAUGCACCACGAAGUUUCUGUCAUGAUAUUGGAGAGUUAAGCCAGAUUCCACACAACAAUUGCAAGCGAUUGACGAAGCCGAUGGAGAGUUAAGAUUACACCUGGAGUAACAGCCCACAUUGUAGCCUUGAACCCCAUGAUUCAUGAACCAUGAUACUGGACAGGAACAAAAGCAGUAGAACCUUCCCUACAAGCACAACUAUUCAGUUAAUCCCUGCAAUCACCGUACUAGCCGUCGAGACGAGGGAACGGGAGCCUCACCGGGCAGUGGGUGUGGGGAGUCACCGAGCCAGCAGAGGAGGCGGACCAUACCGGCCGAGGUCGAAUCCUUCGUCGGAGUCGGUGCCAGCGCCGCGCGGUACGUCCGAGCGCUCGUAGUUGCGCAGCCGCUCCGUGUACUCGAAGAAAUCCCCGGUCGGGCCCUCCGCUUCGCCUCCGUGCUCCGGCAAUAGCAGACAGGUCGCGGCGGGUGCUGCUCCCCAGCAGCAUACCAUUCGGGAGGCCGAGUGCGGCGGAGAAGCGACCUACUAUCCGUCGCGUCCGUGCUGCAGCGGCGGGAGGCGCCGGAGUCGCGGACGUGAUGCUCUGAUGGAGAUGCAGCGAAUUGCAGAUUACAGACGAACGGGCCUCCAGGUGGUGCGGAAGUGGGGAGGACGCCGGAGCCGGGGAGACUGCACUCUUCCGGGGAGGCGAUUAACAAUAUCUACUCCAAUCGAUGGCUGAAUGUCAGCAACGCAUUUGCGACAUGGGAUGGAAGAGCUUGACUGACUAAACUCUCCGGGGAGGCGUUGAAACUGGAUUGAUUUCAUGAUUGAUGGACUUUUGUGUGAAUUAAUAUGUUGCAGGUGACACGAGACAAAUUGGUGAUGCCUUAUCAUCACUCACGAACCUGUAUCUUGCAAAUCUAUGGAAAACUUCAAGGGUUUUGCCUGGCAUACUGAACUCUGUGAUAUACUGAUGCCAAGCCUUCCAAAUCCAAAAUUACUCCAAAACUUCAGGCUUCAGUUUUGUGAAGUACAUUCCGCCGGGGCCUGCCUGCAACACAUUAGUAACAGUGCUCUUUUUUGUUUGAACCUAACUUCCUGUAGAGAAUGGGGGAGGACAAUUAUACAAGCAAGCAGGUAUAAGAAAACAAUACAAACUUUGACACGAUGCUUUUACGUGGAAAAAACUCCUCAAAAUGAGGAGUAAAAAACCACGGGACCAUCACGGUCCACUGCCAAAUUUUCCAUUAUGAGGAUGAUGAUGAAUACAAGUAGUCGUUACAAUAUCAAAAGACAAAACUCUUGCACGACCAAACAUGACCACAAAAGUAAUCAAGAGUUAACCACUUCACCAAGAAAAGGCCACACUGCUGAAUUUGACAACCUGAAGCAGCCAAUCCAUUUUGCACGCUGCUGAAAAGAAAAAAAAUUGCGCUGAUCAGUUGGAAAGUUUGGAAAACAGAUGGGAACCUAUCAAGUUCAGAUGUAGUAGUAGGUGAGGUUCACGAUGUAACUCACCAAUGGUACAUCAUUUGAAAUCUUGGUGCUGAUGUAACAGCAUCGAUCUGGCUUUCUAUUAUCCCAACCUAUGCAUUUUGUAAAGCUCUUGAUACCAGGAGCACAAGAGAUGUGCCCGGUCACCAAUAACUUGCUCAAUGCCUGCUGAAAAUGGUCCACCAAUCACAACCUGACAAAAAAAUGUUUGAUGUCCAGGUUACAUGCAUGUUGUCUAGGACCGAACCCAAGGUGGGAUUUUUUUUUAAAAAAAAUAUCAAUUGUAUUAUCCUCAUUUGAAUCAUGUAUGUUACGAAAUUCAUAUAUGAGUAGAGGUCAGAUUUAAGAACAAAAUUGCAGCACAGAUUCUAAUGAUUGGAGAGGACUGAAGAUAGCUAAAUUAGAGGAAACUGGAAGAGGGAGAGUUCCUAAUACUGCUGCAGUGUUGCUCCUUGCAUGCAAUGCAAUGUGACAGGGUAAAGGUUCCAUUGAUCAGAUAAUAACAAAGUAAAAUGGCCACCAAAAAAAAUUAAGCUACUUCACAUUCAGCAACUAACAUGGGUGAUCCUUUGGUGGAACCUUUUGGUAAAACAUAGUGCCAAAAAAAAAGAAGUGUUUGUUACCUUGGAUUAGUCUCGGAACUUAACUAUGGGUAUUGUUCCUUGCAGCUUCCGGCACUGCUUCUGUAGCUUCUCGUGGCUAUCCGUGACAUCUAGCAUUUGAAGUGAAUUCGGGAGGCUGCCCUCAUGCAGCGACCUGAUAGCAGGACAGCGGUGGAUCACUAAUAUCUUCAGUGAACUUGGAAGGCUUCCCUUUGGUAGCGACCGGAAGCCAUCGCAACGAACUAUGUGUAGUUUUGUCAGCGAACUUGGGAGGGUGCCCUUGGGCAGUGACCGGAUGGCAUCACAGCCCCGUAUUUCUAAUUCCACCAGGGAACUUGGGAGGGUGCCCUUGGGCAGCGACCGGAUGGCCUUACAGAACGAGAUAUGUAAUUCCACCAGUGAACUUGGAAGGCCGCCCUUGGGUAGCGACCGGAAGGAGCCACAGAACCCGAUCUCUAAUAUCUUGAGGUUGGGAAGCCCACCUAACCCUUCUGGCAGGGACUGCAGCCUAGAGUACCCCAAAAUUCGAAGAACCUGGAGAGAGGUGAGCAUCUGCAGGGCCUCCGAUUGCUCCAUUGUGAAGUGCUCCAAGUCGUCAUUCCCACCAAGCUCUAGCUCGGUGAGAGAGGAAGAGAAGUGGCCACCGACGGGCACAGCAACGGCGCCCCCUGCUUCCCCAGCCGUUUCGAGCGCUUGCAGCCUGGAGCUAUGUUGGGGAAGAACUUGUUCGCACAUCCGCGAAGGCUCAGGGACAUCAAGUAAGUUGUGCGCUCCCCAGAUUUGUAAUUCCUUGAGACGACCCUGGGCGAGGAGAUGCCAUAGGUCCUCAGAUCUUAGACCCCCACAAUCAUGUAGGACCAAUUCGGUCAGAUUUGUGAGAGGAGCCAGCGUCAGCAUGCCAUCCUUCACACCCUCAAGCACGAGGGACUGCAGGGAGGUCGAGAAAGGGCAGUAAAAGGAGGGGAGCAAACUGGAGGAUAGAAGCGUGGGGCAAUCCCAUAUAAACAGUGAUCUCAGAGAGCUCUGAUUUUGGAGCAACUCCUUCAAUUGGAGGGGCAUGGGCAGCUGUCCUCCUGCUGCAGCUUCUAUUUCCUCUGCUUCUCCUGCCUGCUUGUUACCACACCUCUGUAGGUCCAACGUUGAGAGGUUAGGGAAAUAAGAGAUUAGCUGUAACAAUUCCUUCACAGUGGCACCACAAUCUGAUAUCUGGAGCUGUUCAACUGGGAACUCGAAUGGGGAAUCAUUCUCACCUUCAGUUGGCCACAGGACACUAGUACAGUGACUUAUAUGCAGGGUCUUCAGAGAAUUUAGCAGUUGUAGGUGAUGUAGAGGCACAAGUGGGCAUUCACUGAUCUUGAACUCCUUUAUUUCACUCAGAUUAGUAAAGGCCAAUACAUUCCAGAGUUCACGAUCAAGAGCAUCCUUUUUGAACUGUACACUCAUUUUCUGUUCCUUUCUGCUGUAAUCUAAGUUCUCAAUACUCUUACCUACUUUCCACAGUCUAGCUUCGGACAGAGAACUACUCCAAGGAAUUGGUGGCACUGACACUAGUUCCUUACACUCUGAAAUGUAUAUCUCCUGUAGGUUGGGAAACAUGUGCGGAGAUGGCAACUCUGUAAGUUCAAAACAAUCCUCAAUAGUGAGUACCUCUAGCUUAGAGAAAGGGCUAUCUACACUCCAUUUUUUCAGAGUUGCUAUGUAGACAAGUUCUAGCCUCUUCAGAUUCUGAAAGGUUUGCCCUGCGACGCUUGGCUGCUCUUCGCCGACCAUCAACAACUCUCCUAGCAGAGGUGGAAGACUUUUCCAGGCUACACCUUCAAGGCAAAGGCAUUCCAAAUUCUUAACAGAGUGGUCUGAACAUAGCCAGGUAGGGUAUGUGUGACCUCCAUGUCCUCUAAUGCACACUUCUUGAAGAUUAUUGUGUGGCUUAAGGCAUUCAAGAACAUCUUGUUUCUUUUUUGGAUCCCUAUCAGACUGGUAUCUAUCCCAACCUAAUAUUAAUCGAUUUAAGUGUUGCAAGUGGACUAAUUUUAAUUCUUCCAGCUCUGUUGCACCACCAACCUUUUCAAGAUUACAAAUCUCCAAUGACCCAUGGAGCUGUAUCAAUUUCCCCAAUUGGUUCAAUUCAAAACCUUGUUUUUCUCUUUUGACCUCAAAUCUCCUUAUCUCUUGUAUAGAUUUAAGUUUCCCAACCUCAACAAUUCCACAAUGAUAUGAUUGAUUUCCCACAAGAAAAUGACGAAUUUUCACUAGGUUGCUCAUAUCUCUUGUAGAAGAGCACAUCUCUUCUGUGUCUAUACGAGGAAAAGCGCCGCAUUCUUUUAUAUCUAGGACCAACAAGUUAUAAAAUCUUGAUAUACUACCAAAUAAACUUCUUAAAUUUAAUACAUAACCCUUUAUCCUUAAGUAACGAAGAUGGACAAGUUGUGAGAAACUGUGCAGCAGAACCUCCACAUCAUACGAUGCACCAGAUAAGAAAAUGACACGAAGGGUUUUUGCAUCCCGAAACAUACCACUAAAUAUCUUGCAAAAACUUCCAUGGUGAUCUCCAAAUAACAUCAAAGUACGUAGGUUUCUAGCUUUCAGUCUUUUACCAAGUAUAUCAAGCCCUUUCUUACAAUUUUCAAAGGUUGCUUUUUCCUCCACAUCUGAAUUAUUUAUGAUGAUGGACAUGUGAUGUAUAGAUGUAGGAAUUUGUAUUGACCCCACAUUAGCCCCUUGUAUGCUAAGACAUUCAUGUGCUGAAACAUUUCUUGCCAAGUCAUGGAGUAGGUCAUGUAUAACAUAAUAAGCGUGCCUAUCCUCUUUUUUUUCUUCCUGGAAGAAGCCAUAACUAACCAAGUCGCUUACAUAAUCUAGUCCAAUAUCCUCAACUCUCUUGUUUUGAUCGUCGGGGCCUAACAGCCCUUGUCCUAUCCACAAGUGGAUUAACUCUUCCCUUCCGAAUUCAUAAUCUUCAGGGAACAAGGCACAAUGGGAAAAACAUUGUUGUAGAUGAAAGUGAAGAUAGUUAUAGCUAAGCUUUAAUGCUGGCAUAAUAUCAUCCUCAUUGGCCUGAUAUUCCCAUUCUUUACUCUCAAGUACUCUUCUCCAAUGUUUUGGGGUAAGUUCAGUUUUCAGUAAUCUACCGACAGUUUUUACUGCAAGAGGGAAACCUUUCAAUCUCUUCACUAUUUUGUACCCGAAAUCAUGCAAAUUAGCAUGCCCUUCCCAUGUUUGUCGGUUACCAAACACACAUUCUUGGAAGAAACACAUGCAUUCUUCAUCACUUAACCGUUCUAAUCUUAUUUGACAGCCUACUGUUGCAACCAUUUGUGCCACCUUCGGAAUCCUUGUUGUGACUAUUGCCAUGUUACCUUUUGUUUGCAUUUUCUUAAAUGGGGCUAGCAGUUUUUUCCAUUCAUUUUCGUGAUCUGUCCACAUGUCAUCCAAAACAAGCAAGAACCGUUUGGACUGCAAUCUUUUUUCAAUCAGACCUUCAGCACUUUCAUUUCCAUUUUCAUUGUCAAGUUUAGGGAUUUGUUUUACGAUUUCUUGUGCCAACUUACUUGCACUGAAAUUCUGAGAGACGCAUACCCAUACCAGGACUUGGAAGUGGCUCUUUGCUUCUUCAUAUAUAUGUUGUGUGAGUGUUGUCUUCCCAAGACCCCCUGGACCAACUAUCGAAAGAACAGUGAGAUCAUCAUUGACAUGAUAUUUAGAGGUUAUUCCAUCUAUGACAUCCUUUUUCAAAUCAUCCCUCCCAUAUAACUUUGGCUCUAUAAUCUGUGGGGUGGUGGUUCUGGUGGUUUGGUUGAAAGCAGUGCCUUGUUGGGCUGAGAUGCCAGUGGAGGCUAUAGUUCCCUGCAGCUCCAGAUCUAGAAUUGUAGAGACCAUAGCACACACUGGCUUAAGCUGCUCAACUAUGUCCACCAUCCGUUUGGACAUGGCCACCCGAUCAAACUUGAGUUUUGGCUUUCUACGAUGGUGACACACCACAGAAGCACAGGAACAUGAGGGGAGCUUCAGCUUACUGACGACGGCCCCGGCCGUGUGGCGUGCGUUGAGGACAAGGCCCCCGACGAGACCUCGGACAUCGGCGUCAAUGGUCUCAUAGGUCCCGUCGAGCUCGUCUUGGAUGCGGAAGUACUCCAGCUCGUCUAGAACGUCAUCAGCAUCAAAUGCUUGGUUGCGGAGCUCCUGCAAGAGCUGCCCCAGUGCCGGGCUGCGGACAUCCCUGCCACGGGCGUUGUCUAGCAUCCCCUGGGCGUACAGGAGUUGUAGCUUGAGGGCGCGGAUGUUGGGGGCCAGCUUCGAAGAGGCUGCCCAAGACUCCAUGAGGCCAUCGGAGAUGGGUCUCAGUGCCCUGGACACCGCCCAGCGUGCUGCGCUGAUGGUGAUCUCCAUCCUCUCUUUCAAAGGAUGUUGGAUGACGAAGAUUCUGUGAAUCAAAGCAUCGAUCAAGUUAUGAGCCUGUUCGGAACAGCCGGCAGCGGCUGCAGCUGCAUCUGCACUAGCACAAGAAACGGUGCUGCGCGAGGCUUUGUUUGCAGCAACAGCUGCAGUGGCAAGAAGCUGAUGCUGAAGCUGGAUCUUUCGAAAAAGAAGCUGAAGCUGAACUAGCCAAUGUACUAGCAUUAGCUCGCUGUUUGUUCUGCAAGAGGUGAAGUAUGUGCAGAUCACAAAGCUAGCCAGCUGCUUACCUAGGCUACGCAGAUGGCUGGAGGUGCCCUGCGUAGUCGGCACCGGAUCGGAGACUGGAGCAGCUGCAACGAGAGUUGGAGCCUUGGAGGCCGCGGAUGUGAAGAGGUGACAAAGACUCUGCAGCUGCGGCACCGAGUUGGAGCGCGCAGACGUCAAGUGGUGAGUGUGAGAGACAACAACUCUGGGAGGAUGAGGAAGGUUGGGUGGCCUGUGAAUGCAAGCGCGUGUGGUUUUCUCAGGGAAGGUGAGAUGAUUGAUUGCAUGUGAGGCUAGAUAUUUCUGAACUCUUUUUUUUUUUACAGCACUCGAGUGUGAAACAGAGCAUGGAUCCUACCUUACAGCUUCAAAAGAUGGAUUAGCUUUUACAAAAGAUGGAUUAGCUUUUACAAAAGAUGGAUUGCUAUGAACUACAGCAAUUCAAUCCUGAAUUUCAGCUUGUGUUUGCACAAGCUGAAUUCCCCCUUGAAGCAAAGAAAUCAACUGAGACAAAUGUUGUAAUUCCGUUCAGUUAUUUGAACUCAUAUUAAAGCUUCUCCAGGACCUUAUUAACCUUGCUUGAAAUCAUGUCACAGUGUGAAAUCACCUGACUCAUGCAGUGAGGUCGGGUUCCAGCUGGUGCCACCGAAAUUGCAGGGCAGAAAUUAUUGUCCUUGCUUCCCUGUUUACUCAAUUAUUGUCCUUCACGUUGCUCUUGUUGCUUUCUCCUCUGUCUAUUCUUGCACAUGGAGCUCGUGGACCCAGCCAUGAAUUCAGCAUCUGUCUGGACGUCCCAGUGUCUUCAUGAAAAGACUUUAAACCUCAAGUGAACAGGACGUCCGACGACCAUUGACCUGGACCUGGACACGGAACCACAGCGAGCCGAUCCAAGAAGCCGCGGCCACAUCGAGCCGAGUAGAAGGAGCUCCUUUAACCAUGCAAUUCAAGAUGGGAUCGAAGAACCUUCAGCGAAUCAACUUGGACUGACUGACUGAACUGUGCAGUCUGAAGAGGCCAAUUGUCCAAAGUUUGGUAGCCAACAGGGCUUCACAUUCAGUGUGUUUAACAGAGCUUGACUCUGAAAAUUCAGGUUCAGGCCUUGUUUGGAUGUAGUCGGAUUCGCAUCAAUCCACAUAUAUUGGUGUGGGUUGGAGUGGAACUUGAACUAAAUUCCACCCCAAUCCACUCCAACACAUGUGGAUUGAGGUGAAUCCGACAACAUCCAAACAAGGCCUCAGUGUUCUUGACAGUCUGCGUUGGACAGCUGAUAUUUUGAUAUGUGAUUCUACUUUGAAAACCAGGGUCCUUUGCCUUCAAGACAAACUAGACCUAUUUUAUUGCUCCUAUGUUCAUUUGAUUUUAGAUUAUAGUGAGAUUGAGAUCCAUCCGGAAAGCAAUCGUUGAAAAUGCUAGCAGAGCAGAACUUUACUAGCACUAUUUCGUUCAGUCCUGUAUCUCAUGUGCUUUCGCAUGCUAGCCAUUUGGCCUACACUCUCAAAAUGCAGCAGUUGCCUGUUCUAUUCCUAGCGGCACACUCUUGCACACUUUGAUUCAGCAGAAUGUAAGUUUGACAAACUUAAUUUGGCAAGCCAAUUCAGUCUAGAGAACAACCUAUAUAUCGUCUCAACUUAGACAUUAUCUAGCAUAAUCAAUUGACAACCUCUUCAGUUAGCAAUUUGCCAUCAUUUUGAAAGGGUCCAUGUCGAGGACUGCCUAACCAUGCAAAUAACUCAUAAUAAAACUUUUUCUUGCUACAAUGACAUCAAUUGCGUUACUUCCUAUUCCAGCCUUAGACAUUUAACAGCGAAGAGCACAAAACUUGAGAGGUCAUAUAAAGGUGGUAAACUAGUAAUAGAUGUUGCAUAACUUACUUUGAUGAUGUCAGUGUCAACGUUUUCUUGUGACAAUAGAAGAAAUGCAGGAGCAGUAAAAACCUGCAAAAGCAUGGAGAUAAUUACGAAAAUCAUGAUAUUAAUUCGAUGAGAGACAAGACAUGAACAGAUUCAAUGCCAGUAGUAUUAGAACUGCAUUCACCGCACUAGCCGUCGAGUCAAGGGAACGGGAGCCUCACCGGGCAGUGGGUGUGGGGGGCCACCGUGCUGACAGACGAAGAGGCGCAUGCUGCCGACGUCGAAUCCGUCGUCGGAGUCGUUGCCGGCGCCGCCGCAAGACGCCGAGUGCUCAUAGUUUUUUUUUUUUUUUUUUUUUUGAACUUCGAGUGCUCAUAGUUGAGCAAGCGCUCCAUGUACUCGAAGAAAUCCCCGGGUGGACCCUCCGCCUCGCCUCCGGGCUGCGGCCAUAGCGGACAGGCCGCGGCGAGUGCUACUCCCUAGCAGCAUACUUCGUGGGCGGCGGCGGGGAAGCGACCUAACAUCCGUCGUGGCCGUCCUGCGGCGGCAGGAGGCGCCGGAGUCGUGGCCUCGAUGCUCAGAUGCAGCGAAUCAAGCAGGAAGGAAGGGAGGGCGCCGGAGUCGGGCGGCAGAGGACGUGUGCGAGGAGGGAGACAACGAUGGGAGCAGAGGAAUCCCUGAAGAUGGAUUGAUGAUUUAUCUGCUCCACUCUCCAAUGAAUGCUGAACGUCAGCAAUGCCUUUGCCAUAUGGGAUGGAAGACAUCUUCAACAAAUUCAGCUUGACUGACUGAACUCUGCAUCUUCUUCAGCAAGUGUCGAAGUUGGUAGACAGACACAGCAGGGAUUCACAUUCAGAGUGUUCUCAUGAACAUUAUCCAAAUUGAUAACAAAAGUUUCAGAUAGAAUAAAUUCAACCUUUACAUUCAUGAUUGCACUUGACUGGAGAAUGUGCCGCAACCUGCUUGGCACACACACGUAUACAACAUCAUCUUUUGACCAAUAAACUGCUUCAAGCGAAAUAAUAACAGUGAAAUAUUUGAAAUCGAAACGUUUUGUUUUUAACAUCUUCGUUGUCUAAGUCUGAGAGACCCCAAAUUGCUCGAUGGUAUGCUUGAGUAAAUUCAGUCCAUUUCCAUCCCAUCUGUGGCUGUCUGCAACAUGUUAGUACUUAAUAUGUUGCAAAUCUAUGGCUGUCUGCAACGUUUUAUUUCAAUGACAGUUCAGCCUACUGAAACUCAAAUUGCCUACUGCAACGUUUUAUGGCGGCGAGGGCUGACAUGAGACAAAUUGGUGACGGCUUCUCAUCACUCACGGACCAGUAUCUUGCAAAUCUAUGGAAAUCUUCAGGGGUUGUCUAGCAUACUGAACUCUCUGGUCUAUUGAUGCCAAUCCUGCUAGACCCCAAAUUACUCAAAAUCUUCAAGCUUCAGUUAUGUGAAGUACAUUGCAUUAGUGGCACUGCUCUUUUUUGUUUGAGCUCCACUUCCUGUGGAGAAUGCAGGACAAUUAUAAGAGCAAAUAGGUUUAAGAAACACAACACAAUGUGCACGCUUUGGCACAAUGCUUUUACGUGGAAAAAAAACUACUCAGAAUGAGGAGUAAAAAACCACGAGACCAUCACAGCACACUGCAAAAUUUUCCAUUAUGAGGAUGAUGGGUACAAGUAGUCUUUACAAUAUCCAGAGAUAAUACCAGAAGCUGAAAACCAUCAUUAUAAUACCCUUGUAUGACCAAACAUAACCACAAAAGUAAUCAAGAGCAAACAGGAGUUGACCACUUCACCAAGAAAGGUCAUGCUGUUGAAUCUGACAACCAGAAGCAGCCAAUCCAUUUUGGGCACUGCAGAAAAUGGCAACCCAAACUAACAGAAUCUCUCUCAAACUUGAUGUUCCCGCACAGCACUAACACACUAGUUUUCCUGCAGCUCACUCGAAUUAGGUUUCAUUUCUUUCCCAACAAACAAAUUAAAGUAUUGCUCCCAGUAACCUCGUAGAUGUUAUACAUGGAUGUGGCUUCAAAAGAAAGAGGUUACACUUGUUAUCCCUGCAGAAGAGGGCACGCCAGCGAUCCACUGGAUCACUGUAUCAAAAACUUGUGCAAAAUAAAAAUUAAUUAAUUCCAGGAGUUAACUACCUUCACACAAAUGGAAAAGGUUGUUUCUAUAUUUUCUUUGAUAUUCAUACCCACUGGAACCAAAGUGUUAAGCCCCACUUAUAGCACACUUUCAUCUUGAUUUUGAUGGCCUUGCUUCAUCAGGUUUGAGUUUUGUAUUUCACGGACUUGCAGCAAUAACUUCUUGUUCCUCUUCUGUAGCGACUAAUCUCAGUGCUGCAGAAAAAACAAAUAUCAAAAACAAGGUCUGCUAUUUUUUCAGCCUAAACUUUUCAACACCCAUCAUGUGUCUAAUAUAGAUGUAAAAUAGAUGAAGAAAUUCCUAGAUGUGUAUUGGCCAUUGUUGGGCUGUCCCAGGCCAUGUGCCAGGUGGGCGACAGCAUAGGACCGGCAGAAACAUGGAGGCUGAAAAUUUAACCUCUUUACUACUUAGUAUUAUUAGUUAUUAGCAAACCUGAUCAUGCCUCCAGUUAAUGUUUUCUUUUUCUUAUUAUGCGACAACAUUCCAGAAAAAAACACUGUGGUUUCCUUCAUUCCUCUCAAUCCCUUUCCAUAUCUGUCCUGUUGCAGACCAAUAGUUUCCCAUUUUUUAUGAGACAAAAAUAACAGAUCUACUCCAAAUUCUCCUCCCUCUCUUAUUAAUUUGUGAUGUCAUUAGUUUGAUACUUUGAAGUCGUAGUAGUUUAUUGACUAAAUUACCCUAAUGUGGAAAGUUCGGGGCCUAAAUUAGAGUUUGGCACAUGCCCCCAAACUUUCAGUCAUGACCUGCAUGUGUAGCUAGUGUCAGAUUGUCUGUAACCAAAAUAAAAGGUAUUGGUAAGCAUAACAAAGUUCAUGUCUAUCUUAUCCUAUAAAUUUGCUGAACACAUAUAGUAUCGUACUAUCCAUAUUUUCACGUCGGUUACUGAAAAUUUACAUGUUCCCAACAUUGUCAAAUCAUAAACCAAGCAAUGUUGUACCAGAGUGCAGAGGGUCAUAGCAAAAUUGUACCUGGAGUGCAGAAGCUCGUGUAGGGAACAACACAGGGAACACGACCAAGCAAGCCAUCUUCAUCACAUUCCCCCUUGUAUACCUUCCGCACCCGACCAGACUUUAGAUCAAAACUGAAUAGCACACCAUUAUUCAUUCCCACGAAAAAGACAUCAACACCAUGCGCAAAGCCAAGGAAGCCAUAUGAUGGAGCCGGCAUCGACUGGAAGCAACUUCUGAAGCUCAAUGACUCUAGUCCGUGUCCAUCCCACGCCUCCGUUUGGAUUCACCUCCAUUGACCAGAGCAAGAGUCUGGCGGCCAUAUCCACUCUUGCAAAUCCCAGCCCACCACCCUCCAUCUCCAUGAGCGCAAUAGCACAAUUGGAGGCUGGAGGUAAGUGAACCACAGAUGUCUCCGAUGUGGCCAAAUCAAAACCAAGGACCCUACUGCCAUUAUCAAUCGAGAAGUAGAGUGUGUUCCCCACAAGGGCAGUAGGCACUAGAUCGACGCUGCACUUGGGGACCAGAGUCGGCUCGCUCCAGCAGGCUGCCGCCGAUGAGUAGACGCGCAAGGACCAGCGCUGGACCUGGCUGUAGCUGUAGUACUUGGUGACAAAGCGAACGACGACGAAGGCUGUACCGUCGGCCGUGGGCUCGCGGAGCACAGUCGCGUACCACUCGUCCCGUUCGCAGUCGUCCAGGACUGGUAUCUCCCACCGCUCGCCCGUUGUCGGGUCCCAGAUGACGAGGGCGUCGACCUCGUCGUCACCCAGGACGAAGUGGAGGACGACGAGGCCGUGGCGGGCGUCGAGGACGACGCAGUCGCGGACCUCCUCCUCGCAGCCGGUGUGUCUCGGGCGGAAAGAGGAGGUGGGGACGAACCAGGCGAACAAGGGGUUGCACAGGAAGCCGAGCAGUGGUGCUGUGCGGUGGAACUCCAUGAACCGGCGGCGGAAGCUGCGGGCACAGACGAUGCGGCACCAGGGCUUGCAGACGAGCGCGGCGCGGACGAGGCUCGCGGGAUCGGCCGGUGGGAGGCGGAGGAGUAUCUCUUCGACGACGUCGGCCGGCAGCUCCAUACUGCUACAGAUCCGGGGAGAGCAGCGGCGCAAGCGCGAGGCUGAGGCGGAGGCGUGGGUGCCUGCUGCAACAGCGGAGUUUUUUAUUUUAUUUUAUUUUUUUAAGCUGCGUCAGCGGAGAUGGGCUGCGACGGGCCGUUCAGCUUCUCGAGUGGAAAGGCCUUCGAUUUUUCUGUUCCAUUUUUUGCUGCACAGCCCACGGGAAUUCUAAUGAAAUCUUCAGGGGUUGCGUUGCGUGGCAUACUGAACCCUGUUGUCUGUUGAUGCCAACCCUAUUAGACAAAUUGCUCCAAAUGUUUCUACUGCAUUCUAUCCAGGCCUGCCCGCAACGCAUGAGUGAUGGUAACUUCUUGUCAUCAUUCACGUUUCCUGUGUGUGAUGCUAUGGCUGAUCAAGGCACAAAAGCUGGCAAUGAGGUUUAGCAUCUUUGAGGGUUAUACUAAUCUUUAAAAGAGACUGGUCCAUGUCACCAUGGAGAAGUUAUCAAUGUCGUUGAGGGUUCAUAGUAAUCUGUAAAGGAUGAUGGAGUUUAGAGUAGACUAGUGAAGGUCCAAGUGCUCGUUUUGUUUGAGCCCCACUUCCUGUACCUGUAGCAAAUGGGGCAGGAAAAUUAUAAGAGCAAGGAGGUUUAAGAAAACAACACAAUGUCCACACUUUGAUAAUGCUUUUAUGUGGAAAAACUCCUCAAAAUGAGGAGUAAAAAACCACGGGACCAUCACGGUCCACUGCCAAACUUUCCAUUAUAUGAGGAUGAUGAAUACCAUGUACUCUUUACAAUAUCUAGAGAUAAUACCAGAUCUGAAAACCAUCAUAAUAAAACCCUUGCACGACCAAACAUAACCACGAAUGUAACCUUGAGCUAACAGGAGUUAACCACUUCACCAACAUAAGGUCAUGCCGUUGAAUCCUGAAGCAGUCAAUCCAUUUUGCACGCUGCUGAACAAUGGCAACGCAAACUAAAAAAGUCUCUCUCAAACGUGAUGUUCUUCUAGCACAGUACACAAAUUUUUCCACAGCUGCGGCUCAAGUAAAACAUGUUUUACUGAACUUCUUUUCAAGUCUAUCUUUGGAGCAACGUGGCAUCUAAACUUGUCCGUGCAAAGGUGUUUUUCUCCCUUUUGAACCCCAGUAUCUUGAACAUGACUUAAGACCAUGCCAGUUUCUAGGCUCAUUGAUGCUGCUGCAACUGCAAUGGAACUAUGAAAUGACUGCACCUCUACCAGUUGCAGCAUCGCUACUCACUUGGUACAAAGAACAUCCAUAGUUCAGAACAAUCCCUUUCCUAAAACAGAAGACAAAUUGAAUAACUGAAGUCACUUAUUUGCAUAAUGUCACGGACAUAAUAUUAAUCUCUAUGUAUCCUAAUGUCACCACAUUGACAGAGAAGCAAAUACUAUUCAUUUUCAAAAAUUGUAAAAUAUCUAUAUUUUCAUUAUCUUCAAAUUCAGUUAUGAGUGUUCAUUUUAUAUUAUCAGAAAAAUCAGUAUGUUUCAUAGAGGCUUCCAACAUUAAGACCUAUUUGUAUAAUUAUGUACUGUAAUAUUGUAUGGGCAUGGCUAUUUAAAAGGUCAAAAAGGGGACACAGCAGCCAGAUAGAUCUAAAUAAUGAAACAAGCUACAACGUCAUAUCAGUAUGGCUCGGUGACUGACUGACGCUCCUAACAUAACCAGAGAGAGAGAGAGAGAGAGAGAGAGAGAGAGAGAGAGAGAGAGAGAGAGUUUCAAAUGUUCAGCCUUCUAAUAUUUUAGCCCCAUUCAUUAGCAAGCUUCAAGUAAGAAAACAAAUUUUACAUGCUAUUAACACUAGAGAAAUGUCACUACGCAUCUCCUUGCUCUCCUAUUCCUGACACAAGGCCUUCCUUGCUGAGCGAUGGACCGGCCAAACUGGCCAACCUGUUAAUGCGCUCUGGGGUUUCAGCGCCGCUGAGAGAUGCCGCCGAUGGAUGUCCACACACUCGAUGCACCUGGCCGCGUGCCGCGGCUAUCCAUGAUUCUUUCAGGGACGAGGUUGCUGGCGUCGCGCAGGAGGUUCCUCUAGGGAUGCAAUGCGAUGCUCGCCUCCGUCAGUAGCACGGCAUCAGGCAGGCAUUCCACCUGCAGCAAGUUUCAGAGAAUAAUGUGGUAUCAAUUUCAGCAAUAGCUUCCACUUACGUGCCUGCCUGCCUGCCUGUCUGCCUGGAUUAAUUUCAAAUGCUCAGCAAGAGAUGACUAGUCCCACUACCUGAGUGAAGCUGCUAGCAAUCGCAAGAUGCUCCUUGUCAAUAUCCAUGCUGACAACAAGCGCUGGAAGCCUGUUAUGGUCUCACGGUUUCUUUCACUUCUAUACGUCUACGGCCUCUGCAGAUGCCCCCAUAUGUGCUGAGACAUAGUUCAAGCAUCAGCGACAACUGACGCUACUAAGAAGGCGAGGGAUGUCAAUAGCAGGUUAUAGCAGAGGUUAACCUCCAUCGACGAGUACAGUGGAUGCGCCCCGAUUGAGUACUGACGCUCCCUCUGCUGUCAGAAACUGGCUCCUCCGAGGAAGUUGAGUCUUCCUCACGCGGGUAGUUGCUCCAGCAAGCGGCGAUGCCAUGGCGAUGCUCGUUUCCGUCAGUAGCAUGACGUCAGGCGUUUAACCUGCAGCAAGUUUCAGAUAAAAUGUGGCAUCAACUUCUGCAUUAAUUUUCAAUCAUGCGCCGGCAAAACCAAGGGAUGGCUAGUCCCACUCAGUACCUGAGACAAGCUGCUCAGCAAACACAAAAGAUGCGCCUUGUGAUUAGCCAUUCCGACAACAAGCGCUAGAGGCCCUUCUGGUCAGUCUCACAGUUUGUAUCAAGUCUGAUAAUGCCUUUGCAGAUGACUUAGUGCUAGUUAGUAUGGGCUGGGACAUAGUUCAAGUAUCAGCGACUGACUGGUGCUACUGAAAGGGAAGGUCGGAAGGAUAUGUCAUGAGCAGGUUACAGCAGAGGUUAACCUCCACCGAUGGAUGAGUACAUACAGUGGAUGUGCCAUCCUCCUAGGAAGUUGGGUCUCCUCUAAGUCGGCUUGGAUCGAAACGGCAGAGAUAUCCCAUCGUUAACUUACCAAACCCAUGCAAUAGACAGGAAAAAACACAACAGUGAAUGCGUGUGAUAAACGAAAAACAGACAAAUGAAGGAUCAAAUGUUCAGCCUUAUAAUAUUUCAGCCUCAUUCAUGAUCAAUCUUAACUUUGGAGAAAUGUCACUUCGAUGACACUGAAUGGAUGGACUGUCAGCAAAUUGGCUUGGAAAUAUGGUUACCUUGACUAGUACGGAGACAAAGACCUGCGCAAGCAGCUGUGACAGUGUUCCAGCGCUGAUGACCUCCCAGCAGCUGGAGGUAUACAUCAUCCAAUCCAACCGACUGAAAAGGGAAGUUUGCGCUGAUCAGUUAGAAGAUUUGAAAAAACAGAUGGGAGCCUAUCACAUUCAGACUAAGUAGGUUACGUCGCGAUGAAACUCACCAAUGGUACAUCAUUUAAAAUCUCGAUGCUGAUGUAACAGCAUUGAUAUAUGGCUUUCCAUUAUCCCAACUUAUGCAUUUUGUAAAGUUCUUCAUGCCAGGGUCACAAGCAGAUAUCACGGGAGAUUGCAUCGUCAAGAAUGCCCUGUAACGAAAAAUUUGCUCAAUCUCUGCUCAAAAUGGUCCACCAAUCACAGUCUGACCAAAAAAAAUGUUUGAUAUCCAGGUUACAUGUUGUCUAGAACCUAAACCAAGAUGGAAUAAAAAAAAAACCCUGAAACGUAGUAUCAUUGAUUUGGACCAUGUAUGCUAUGUCAAGCAAUUCAAAUAAGAGUGAAGAUUUAAGAACAAAGUUGCAGCACAAAUUCUAAUGAUUGGAAAGGAUUAAAGAAGCUAAAUCAGAGAAAACUGGAAGAGGGAUGGUUCCUAAUACUGUUACAGUGGUGCUCUUUGCAUGCAGUGCAAUGUAACAAGGUAAGGUGCCACUGAUCAGAUAAUAACAAAGUAAAAUGGCCACCAAAAAAAAUUGAGCUACUUCACAUUCAGCAACUAACAUGGGUUAUCCGUUGGUGGAACCUUUUGGAAAAAAAAUAGUGCAAAAAAAAGGAAGUGUUUGUUACCUUGGAUUAGCAGCGUCGGAACUUAACUAUGGGUAUUGUUCCUUGCAGCUUCCGGCACUGCUUCUGUAGCUUCUCGUUGCUAUAACUGACAUCUAGCAUUUGAAGUGAAUUCGGGAGGCUGCCCUCAUGUAGCGACCUGAUAGCAGGACAGAAGCGGAUCUGUAAUAUCUUCAGUGAACUUGGAAGGCUUCCCUUUGGUAGCGACCGGAAGGCACGGCAACGAAUUAUGUGUAGUUCUGUCAGCGAACUUGGGAGGGUGCCCUUGGGCAGUGACCGGAUGGCAUCACAGCUCCAGAUUUGUAAUUCCACCAGGGAACAUGGGAGGGUGCCCUUCGGCAGAGACUGUAUGGCCUUGCAGUUGCUGAUUUGUAAUACUACCAGUGAACUUGGAAGUCCGCCCUUGGGUAGGGACCGAAAGCAGUCACAGAACCGGAUCUCUAAUCUCUUGAGGUUGGGAAGCCCACUUAACCCCUCUGGAAGGGACUGCAGCCUCGAGUACCACCCAAUAUGAAGAACCUGGAGGGAGGUGAGCAUCAGCAGGGCCUCCGAUUGCUCCAUUGUGAAGUGAUCCAAGUCGUCAUUCUUACCAAGCCAUAGCUCGGAGAGAGAGGAAGAGAAGUGGCCACCGAUGGGCACAGCAACGGCGCCCCCUGCUUCCUCAUCCGUUUCGAGCGCCGGCAGCCUGGAGCUAUGUUGGGGAAGAACUUGUUCGCACAUCCGCGAAGGCUCUGGGACAUCAAGUAAGUUGUGCGCCCCAUAGAUUACUAAUUCCUUGAGACGACCCUGGGCGAGGAGAUGCCAUAGGUCCUCAGAUCUUAGACCCCCACAAUCAUAUAGGUCCAAUUCGGUCAGAUUUGUGAGAGGAGCCAGCGUCAGCAUGCCAUCCUUCACACCCUCAAGCACGAGGGACUGCAGGGAGGUCGGGAAAGGGCAGUAAAAGGAGGGGAGCAAACUGGAGGAUAGAAGCAUGGGGCAAUCAUCUAUAAACAGUGAUCUCAGAGAGCUCUGAUUUUGGAGCAACUCCUUCAAUUGGAGGGGCAUGG
rnacentral:lncRNA from 1 species